ensembl:snoRNA LOC120098697 small nucleolar RNA SNORA17
CCUGCCCCCAGAGGGGUGGCAAUGCAGGUAUGUCUGUCACAUGUCAGUAGGUGACAGAAAGAAGUGAGGCUAUGUCUAUGCUCAGUGUUCAAACCUAUGACUAUCUGAAUAAUUAGUAGCCUAACAUU